rnacentral:rRNA from 1 species
CUGAGCAUGGGCGCAGCCUGAUGCAGCGACGCCGCGUGAGGGAUGAAGGCCUUCGGGUUGUAAACCUCUUUCAGUAGGGAAGAAGCGAAAGUGACGGUACCUGCAGAAGAAGCGCCGGCUAACUACGUGCCAGCAGCCGCGGUAAUACGUAGGGCGCAAGCGUUAUCCGGAAUUAUUGGGCGUAAAGAGCUCGUAGGCGGUUUGUCGCGUCUGCCGUGAAAGUCCGGGGCUUAACUCCGGAUCUGCGGUGGGUACGGGCAGACUUGAGUGAUGUAGGGGAGACUGGAAUUCCUGGUGUAGCGGUGAAAUGCGCAAAUAUCAGGAGGAACACCGAUGGCGAAGGCAGGUCUCUGGGCAUUAACUGACGCUGAGGAGCGAAAGCAUGGGGAGCGAACAGGAUUAGAUACCCUGGUAGUCCAUGCCGUAAACGUUGGGCACUAGGUGUGGGGGACAUUCCACGUUUUCCGCGCCGUAGCUAACGCAUUAAGUGCCCCGCCUGGGGAGUACGGCCGCAAGGCUAAAACUCAAUGAAAUUUGACGGA